AUCACAAUAGACGAAGAGGCGCACAACCAGUGUGAAUGCCAGUGUCGCAUUCAGGAACAGGACUGUAACCCGGCAAUUCAAGACUACAACUCUACCAACUGUCGCUGCGUCUGCAAAAAUCAGGAUGAGCAGAGCAAGUGCAGCGAUAAAAACCAAACACAUUACUGGAGCGAAAAAGACUGCGCGUGCUACUGCUAUACCGACGAAACCUGCAGCACCGGCCAGCGAUACGAUCACAAUCUCUGCAGAUGCACGAAUGUGAACUUUGCGGCUCGAUUACGACUCUCUGAACUCCCAUCGUUCGCUACCGGUCUGGACCGCCGGCCGGCCACUCGAGUGCCCAUCACGUUCGGAGGGUGAAGUGCGACGCUCGUUAACUUCCCUGCGGAUUUGUUUUGUUCUGACCAACUUACAAAUAUAAACAAAUUAUCUUUAAUCAACAAUGCUUGUAGCUUCUAUGAGACCUGAAUUGCAACAUUAUUGUCUAUAAUUAAAUUCUGAAGUCAAACACACUCGUGACAAACGAGUACUUUCUGGGCAUCGAUAUUUUAAAAAUUUAGUACCUUAAAUAUUGCAAUGACUUUAGAGAGUAGAGUAAGCUAAAAUUUUCAUCGUUUUAUCUAUGAUUAAGGAAACUGGUCGGCCCUGAGUGUCGUCAAAGCAG